CUACUUACCUGGCAGGGGAGAUGCCACGAUCACAGAGGAGGUUUUCCCAGGGCGAGGCUUGUCCACUGCGCUCCGGGUGUGCCGACCCCUGCAGUGUCCCCAAACGUGGGAAGCUCAGCUGCAUAAUUUGUGGCAGUGGGGGACUGCAUUCAUGCUCUCCCCUA